rnacentral:rRNA from 1 species
GNNNUUGCAGANUCAGUGAUCAUCGAAUCUUUGAACGCACAUUGCGCCCGUCAGUAUUCUGGCGGGCAUGCCUGUUCGAGCGUCAUUACGCCCCUCAAGUCCCCUGUGGACUUGGUGUUGGGGAUCGGCGAGGCUGGUUUUCCAGCACAGCCGUCCCUUAAAUUAAUUGGCGGUCUCGCCGUGGCCCUCCUCUGCGCAGUAGUAAAGCACUCGCAACAGGAGCCCGGCGCGGUCCACUGCCGUAAAACCCCCCAACUUUUUAUAGUUGACCUCGAAUCAGGUAGGACUACCCGCUGAACUUAAGCAUAUCAAUAAGCGGAGGAAA